AUAGAAACCGUCCAUACCUGUAUCAAAUCAUUGUUACGGGGAUGGGCUUUCGUCAUCUGAACUGGAAUAAUCCAUCCUCCGAUCCUUAAUUGCUGGAAAUAGCCGUUGGUGAACUUCAGGCAAACUUCGCUGAGAUGCUGAAGGUGAAACAGGCAAACUUCGUUGAGAUGCUGAAGGUGAAACUUCAGGCAAACUUCGCUGAGAAGCUGAAGGUGAAGCAGGCAUACUUCGUUGAGAUGCAGAAGGUGAAACAGGCAUACUUCGUUGAGAUGCAGAAGGUGAAUCGGGCAAACUUCGCAGAGAUGCUGAAAGUGAAGCCGAAGAAGUCUCUUUUUUUGGAGCCUUCUUAGGCUGCUGCAAGAGUGCUAAUUUUUUUACCUCCUUGCAUUCCUUAUCCAACAUUAUCAAGAAAUCUCGGACGACUACGAAUAACCUCAACCCUUCAUCCUUCACUGCAUUCCCAUGGAAGUACUCUGUUGUCUGCUGCACCAGAGACAUUAUCCUCUUUUCUUCCGAUAUCAUCCAUCUAAUUUCCGUUUCUGCAUGCUUCACAAAUUCUACUAGAGCAUAUUGGAACUUGCUAUCUUCCUUUAAGUCAUCCAUCUCAUUGUUUAGAAACUUCUGGGUUUUUAAUAGCGACUGACCAAGUUUGGAUACUGUUGAUGUAAGGUUAUCACCAUCUAUGAUUGCAGCCUUUCUUACAUUCGCCAGGUCAUUGCUCAGCCCGGAAACUACCUCAAGACCAAGUUCACGAAAGUAGUCCGGUGAUUCGAGAACAGAAUCGUCAAGAAGAUCCUCACUCUUGAUACUAGACAUGCUCUGGCUCUGUCUUGCUACACGAGCGGCUCUUAUUCCUUCUGAUUGAAUAAUCUCCUUAACAACGAAGUGCAGGAGUGUGGUCUUGCCAUCUGUUCCUUUUACAUCUGAAAGCUUCAAAAGUGUGUCGAGUUUGAAUGCCUGAGCUCCACCACGGUAGGUACCGUUAUUCAAGCGGUUUCCAGUUUUGAGAACUGCUUCUAGUAGUUUCAGAAAUAGUCUGCUUUUUUUGAGCUCCGUGCAAGCUAACUGCAAUUCAAGGUUGGCUACAGUUAAAAACCAAAAUGAUUGUCCUGCAAUCAUCAAAAUACAUCUAUAAUGUUUUGCAGAGGUACAUCCAUUGAUGCCUGCACCUUUUGGGUCGUAUCGUUGAUUAGGGUGCCAUAAAAAUGUGAGCCAUCCUCAAAAGGGGAUGUUCUAUUUCUCAAACUGAAUUUUAACUUAAAAGUAUGAGCACAUAUCGUUCAGAAAUGUGAUUUUAGUAACAACAGCAACAAGAAGAAAUAGGGGGAUGUGACAAGUAAAACCAUAAUAUGAAAAAAGCAGUAAUCUAAAUGAUUUGUGCAUUCAAGGAGAGUGAAAAUUGGAAGACAAGCUCAUUGCUUACAGAAUUGAAUGAGGGGAGUACAUGCAAAGAUCAAAUGUUUCACCUCUAAUGUUCCAAAAUACUGUUUAAUGGGAGAGACCUCCUCCUGAAAAGAGCUCAUGAACAACAAUGCUUCCAGCCGUUUGAAUGCAAAUGGGAUUUCAACCAAGACUUUUAGGAAACGUUCGGCAGGCCAGAGCUGAGAAAGGUCACCAUUAAAUAGCCUAAGCUUCAGUUCUUCUUCGCUUGUUGGUGCCAUCCUUAUCAUGGUUUGGACGAGCUCAGAAGGAAGUUCAUUACCUGAUUAAUUAAAAUAGAAAAAGUAAUUUGUUCAUAUAAGCCACUCAAUAAUUAAGAGAAAUCCUAGAAAGCCAAACAAUUCCAAUGAGACGGAUGUGAAAAUAUAUAUGGAAUGAUUGUAUUAACAAACAUAAACUCAUACUAGACUUGAUGCAUGCAUAAGUUAAUUACAUGUUAGUAUAAUUCCUUGAACAAUGUAUUUACCUUAAUUUUCUAAUCAUAUCAUUUGAUUGUAUUAUACUAAAACAAGUCAUGUGAGAAGAAAACUAAUUAAGGCUCCUAUGACAAGAGUUGAUGGAAUAUAAAAUGUAGUUAGUAAAAGAGGAAGAGGAAGAUAGGAAAAAAAAAACUUAGUGGGAGACACUUAGAUUUGAUAAUAAGUGUAUAGGACUUACAGGAGAUAUAAAAAUAAAUGGAAAUCUAAAAUCAGAGCUGAUACCGAAUACUGAGAUGAUUCUUGUUCUUGUUCUUGCUGUUUACACUAAAAGAAUUCUAUAAGUUCAAAUUUACUCAUUGACAGUUGAUGUGCACAAGGGCCUAGACCCAUUUACAAAACGUACAAAGGUUAAGCCCAAAAGCUAAGAAUAAAGCAUAAGGGAUACAGAAAUGAGAACGCUGCACAAAAGAGGCCCGAGAGACCCUCUCAAUAGACUCUUGCCAAGGAGGAAUAAAAGGCUUUGGAAGAGUCUGAAAGGUCUCCCAAAUAUGACUUUUUUAGGUAGGGACAAUAUGCUUGAGAGUAUAUUUUUCUAUAAUCUGGUAGAGACAAUAUUGACCCUUGUUACAAAUCUAACUAGGAAAACUGAAACUUGGGGAGAACACAGCCACUAGCAUUUCCUAAUGAUUAAUUCAUUCUCCAUCCUUUCAUUCUGUCUUCUAUCAACACUGAUAGGAAAAAUAGUUUUCAUUUGUGGGUUCCUUCCUGCAGUAUGAUCGUGCAAAACUUCAUUCUUGACAGCAAGUCAUAGUGUGAUCAAGUGGGAUACUGUUAGGCCUCCUUUGUGAUCACACCGUGAUUGGUUGUAACUAUUUCAACUAGUUUGAUUUGAUGAGCAGAAGAAGAGAGAGAUCACAAGGUAGUUACAGAAAUAAGGUAAAACAAAUAUCAUUAGUUGCGAUGGAGGUUCUCUACUGCUCUAUAUGCUCAGGAAUCCUAAUCAAACUGCCAAAAAGGAUAAAAACUCAGAGUGUUUUCUUCACAUAUAUAAAGCCUUAGAUUUAAAGUUUAUCUCAUGCUCAGGUGAGGGGCAAGAACAUUUAUUUUCUGUAUGCCAAUCGUAUAAUGUCUCAUUCAUAUUGUCACAUAGUAUAGAGAGACAGAUUGAAAGAGAGCCAGAAAGGGAGAGAGAACCACCUUCCUUGAGUGCAUCACAAACUUCUUCUGUCGUCACAUUUAAUGCUUUUAGAAAAAUUGCCAAAUUGUGCGAUUUCUUAGGAUCUAUAAUCUGGAUAUAUUGGGGAGUAGAUUCAGAUUCAGAUGAAUCUUUUCGACGCCCAUUCUUGCUCUUUUCAGCAGGAGUAUACCCAAAUAGACUUUCCAUCAUCUCUUCAUCAACUCUGUAUGCCAAAGAGGGAAGAAGGAAGCUCAGAAAUUUGCUGAAGAUCAUUGAGACAACUUAUCCUCACAAAUCAAAGUAAAUGAAAAAAAUCCGAGGCCUCACUGAAAUGAUCCUGCUUUAAGCUCAUGCCAAACCAUUGAGUGAUCAGGGCUUGCAGCAACCUUUUCCCAGAAGAAUGGCUUUAACUUGGCUUUUUGACUGUCUUCACGAGCCAGGUCAUCGCCACCUGAAGAAGAAUGGCGAUGUGGUCCACGAGGUGAAGGUUUGGCCAAUGGAACUGGGGGAGGGCGAACUGUUGGAGGGCGACCUGCUUUUGGCACUGGUGGUGGCGGAGGUCCGGGAGCAGGACGUUUAGGUGGUGGUGGAGGAGGAGGCCCCUUUGGUGCAGGAGGAGGUGGAGGUGCAGGUGCAGGUGCAGGUGGCGGUGGUGAAGGAGUUUUUCCAAGUGGUGGUGGUGGAGGCCUUCUUCCUGGAGGAAGUGGUAAUGGUGCAUUGAUGGUUCCCGUUGCAGCUCUAGCAGCUUCAGAUGAUUGAGCGCUGACCAAUGAAGAACCAUGACCAUCAAUGGGUAAAUCUUUAACAGCGGACGAAGGCUUGAAAUCAUCAGUACUUGGACGUCCUACACUAAGAGACUUCUGCGAAUAACCUGGGAAAUCGAAAUUACUUACAACACUGAAAUUACUAAAUAUGCAAAUGAAAAAUGAUACUUUUACUAAAUACCAGACAUAUUGCUUAAGGAAACGCUGAGAAGAGGCUUGUCAUCUCUUUGUCCAUCCAUGGGGCUAACUUCAUUGCUGUUGCCUUUGAGACAGCAACAAAAGGGAAAUGCCACCGCAGAUGCCAAUACAGCAACAAUUAUAUACAUCCAGCUAUUGCUCUUCUUUUGUUUCUUUGAGGAACGACGUGAAGGAGAACGUGGUUUUCCCGAAGGGCGUACAACUGUAUGUGGGAGAUGUGGGUGAUUCAAGUAUUUUCGGGAUGACAACUCCCGAGUUUUGGCAGACAAAUGUCGCAUCGGAAGUGCAUAGCCGACAGAUGCAGGAGCACGAGGAAGCAAUGUGGUUGAAGGGCCUCCUGGAGCAGGGGUUCCCACUAUAUGUUCAUGUGACUCAAUCAGGACAUACCUUCUGAGAACACUAGACCUACAAAAAUGCAACUCUAGGCAAUUGUCUAACAAAGCCCUAGAGUUGGCUGCAUUGCCAGAUGUGCAAACUGAAAACGCUU